UACGUAGGGUGCGAGCGUUGUCCGGAUUUAUUGGGCGUAAAGAGCUCGUAGGCGGUCUGUCGCGUCGGAUGUGAAAACCCAGGGCUCAACCCUGGGCCUGCAUUCGAUACGGGCAGACUGGAGUACGGUAGGGGAGACUGGAAUUCCUGGUGUAGCGGUGAAAUGCGCAGAUAUCAGGAGGAACACCGGUGGCGAAGGCGGGUCUCUGGGCCGAAACUGACGCUGAGGAGCGAAAGCGUGGGGAGCGAACAGG
rnacentral:rRNA from 1 species